ACCUGCCCUGUAGACGGGGAUAACACCGAGAAAUCGGUGCUAAUACCGGAUAAUACGAAAGGCCGCAUGGUCUUUCGUUGAAAGGCGGCGCAAGCUGUCGCUACAGGAUGGGCCCGCGGCGCAUUAGCUAGUUGGUGAGGUAACGGCUCACCAAGGCGACGAUGCGUAGCCGACCUGAGAGGGUGAUCGGCCACACUGGGACUGAGACACGGCCCAGACUCCUACGGGAGGCAGCAGUAGGGAAUCUUCCGCAAUGGACGAAAGUCUGACGGAGCAACGCCGCGUGAGCGAAGAAGGCCUUCGGGUCGUAAAGCUCUGUUGUUAGGGAAGAACAAGUACCGCAGUCACUGGCGGUACCUUGACGGUACCUAACGAGGAAGCCACGGCUAACUACGUGCCAGCAGCCGCGGUAAUACGUAGGUGGCAAGCGUUGUCCGGAAUUAUUGGGCGUAAAGCGCGCGCAGGCGGUUCCUUAAGUCUGAUGUGAAAGCCCACGGCUCAACCGUGGAGGGUCAUUGGAAACUGGGGGACUUGAGUGCAGAAGAGGAGAGCGGAAUUCCACGUGUAGCGGUGAAAUGCGUAGAGAUGUGGAGGAACACCAGUGGCGAAGGCGGCUCUCUGGUCUGUAACUGACG
rnacentral:rRNA from 1 species